rnacentral:rRNA from 1 species
UACGGAGGUGGCUAACGUUGUUCGGAUUCAUUGGGUGUAGAGGGUAUGUAGGUGGCCUUGCAAGUCGGAUGUGAAAUCCUUUAGCUUAACUAAAGAACUGCAUUCGAAACUGCUUGGCUUGAGUUUGGGAGAGGAAAAUGGAAUUCCCGGUGUAAGAGUGAAAUCUGUAGAUAUCGGGAGGAACACCAGUUGCGAAAGCGAUUUUCUGGCCUAAAACUGACACUGAAAUACGAAAGCUAGGGGAGCAAACAGG